rnacentral:rRNA from 1 species
CAUGCAAGUCGAGCGGUAACAGACAUAAAGAUUCAGCUUGCUGAAUCCGGUGCUGACGAGCGGCGAACGGGUGAGUAACGCGUAGGAAUCUACCCAGUAGCGGGGGAUAGCCCGGGGAAACCCGGAUUAAUACCGCAUACGCCCUAAGGGGGAAAGGGGGCAGCUUGCUGCUCUUACUAUUGGAUGAGCCUGCGUAAGAUUAGCUUGUUGGUAGGGUAAUGGCCUACCAAGGCAACGAUCUUUAGCUGGUCUGAGAGGACGAUCAGCCACAUUGGGACUGAGACACGGCCCAGACAUCUACGGAUGGCAGCAGUUAAGAAUAUUGGACAAUGGGGGCAACCCUGAUCCAGGUAUACCGCGUGUGUGAAGAAGGCCCUAGGGUUGUAAAGCACUUUAAUCAGAGAAGAAGCAUUUUAAGUUAAUACCUUAUUAUGUUGACGUUACCUGAAGAAUAAGGACCGGCUAACUCCGUGCCAGCAGCCGCGGUAAUACGGAGGGUCCAAGCGUUAAUCGGAAUUACUGGGCGUAAAGCGCGCGUAGGCGGUUUAGCAAGUUGAAUGUGAAAGCCCUAGGCUCAACCUAGGAACUGCAUUCAAAACUACUGAGCUAGAGUACGAGAGAGGAGAGUAGAAUUUCUGGUGUAGCGGUGAAAUGCGUAGAUAUCAGAAGGAAUACCAAUGGCGAAGGCAGCUCUCUGGCUCGUCACUGACGCUAAGGUGCGAAAGCGUGGGUAGCAAACAGGAUUAGAUACCCUGGUAGUCCACGCCGUAAACGAUGAGAACUAGCCGUUGGACAGAUUUAACUGUUCAGUGGCGCAGCUAACGCAUUAAGUUCUCCGCC